rnacentral:rRNA from 1 species
GAUGAACGCUGGCGGCGUGCCUAAUACAUGCGAGUCGAGCGAACGGACGAGAAGCUUGCUUCUCUGAUGUUAGCGGCGGACGGGUGAGUAACACGUGGAUAACCUACCUAUAAGACUGGGAUAACUUCGGGAAACCGUAGCUAAUACCGGAUAAUAUUUUGAACCGCAUGGUUAAAAAGUGAAAGGCGGUCUUGCUGUCACUUAUAGAUGGAUCCGCGCUGCAUUAGCUAGUUGGUAAGGUAACGGCUUACCAAGGCAACGAUGCAUAGCCGACCUGAGAGUGUGACCGGCCAAACUGGAACUGAGACACGGUCCAGACUCCUACGGGAGGCAGCAGUAGGGAAUCUUCCGCAAUGGGCGAAAGCCUGACGGAGCAACGCCGCGUGAGUUAUGAAGGUCUUCGGAUCGUAAAACUCUGUUAUUAGGGAAGAACAUAUGUGUAAGUAACUGUGCACAUCUUGACGGUACCUAAUCAGAAAGCCACGGCCAACUACGUG